GUGUCAGCAGCCGCGGUAAGACGAAGGGGGCUAGCGUUGUUCGGAAUUACUGGGCGUAAAGCGCGUGUAGGCGGUUUUCCAAGUUGGGUGUGAAAGCCUUGGGCUUAACCCAAGAAAUGCACUCAGUACUGGAAGACUAGAGGACCGGAGAGGAUAGUGGAAUUCCCAGUGUAGUGGUGAAAUACGUAGAGAUUGGGAAGAACACCAGUGGCGAAGGCGGCUAUCUGGACGGUUUCUGACGCUAAGACGCGAAAGCGUGGGGAGCAAACAGGAUUAGAAACCCCCGUAGUCC
rnacentral:rRNA from 1 species